rnacentral:lncRNA from 1 species
AUCUUCAUCUUGGUCACCUUGCGAUCUAUGAUGUCCAAUGGCAGGUCGAACUCGCCCACCAUGCAAAGAGGAAUAGCUCCACCACAUGGUUUGCAGUUGUCGAGCUUGCGUUCGAUGAGGUACGUCUCGAUGCCGCCUUUAGCGAGGGUCUCGGCUGCUGCUCCGCCAGCAGGGCCUCCGCCGAUGACUGCUACUCGUAGGUUGCGGUUUUGGACCUUGGGGCUAAAUUUGCCAGCGGUUAUUUGAAGGCGGCGACGGCAGUGGUUGGGGGAGGAAACGCUUGGUACUUUGUUUUGGAGUGUGGAAGGUUCAGCGGAGGAAUGGCGGAGUCCGGUGAAGGUCUUGAAGG